GUAAUGUCUGGGAAACUGCCUGAUGAGGGGAUAACUACUGGAAACGGUAGCUAAUACCGCAUAACGUCGCAAGACCAAAGAGGGGGACCUUCGGGCCUCUUGCCAUCGGAUGUGCCCAGAUGGGAUUAGCUAGUAGGUGGGGUAACGGCUCACCUAGGCGACGAUCCCUAGCUGGUCUGAGAGGAUGACCAGCCACACUGGAACUGAGACACGGUCCAGACUCCUACGGGAGGCAGCAUG
rnacentral:rRNA from 1 species